GAAAUGCGAUACGCAGUGCGAAUUGCAGAACGCGAGUCAUCAGAUCUUUGAACGCAAGUGGCGCUGGUUAGCAGCCAGCAUGUGGGGUUCAGUGUGUUUGGAAAUCACAAACGCGGAAUGUGGUUGAAGUGUCCUCUUUUGGGCUCUUCUCCCAUUAAACCACGCAACAGGCGCUUCCUCUGCCCCCUAAACCAGGGUAGAGGCCGCACUCCUGUGCCCGGUAGUAGUCACUAGCAUCCUAGUGAUCUACGGGCACUCGUGUCGGUUGGCGUCCUCGAGGCGGCGGCCUUAAUCAGCCUCCUUCCCCUCAAAAACCUCUCCAUUCACUACACCUGAGCUCCGCAAGAUCACCCGCUGAACUUAA
rnacentral:misc_RNA from 1 species